rnacentral:misc_RNA from 1 species
ACCUUUUUUUUUAAUUAAAUUCAGAGGGAAAUUAACUCUACUACUUUGGGUAACAUGCCAAAAACACAAAACGUAAGAAACUGUGGGGGAAUUAGCAAGUUUGAUGUCUUUGCCUCUGUGUUCUUGUGGAGCUGUGAAAGCUAGGUGCAAGAUAACUGAUUCAGAUAGACUUUCACAGUUUCUCAUGGAGUUUAGUGAUAGCUAUGAUCAUGCUAAGAAUCAGAUCUAGCUGAUGGAUCCUUUGCCAAGCACUAACAAGGCAUAUUCAAUGGUAGUGAGGG